rnacentral:rRNA from 1 species
UUUCCGUAGGUGAACCUGCGGAAGGAUCAUUACCGAGUGCGGGCCCUCGCGGCCCAACCUCCCACCCUUGUCUCUAUACACCUGUUGCUUCGGCGGGCCCACCGGGGCCACCUGGUCGCCGGGGGACGCACGUCCCCGGGCCCGCGCCCGCCGAAGCGCUGUGAACCCUGAUGAAGAUGGACUGUCUGAGUACUAUGAAAAUUGUCAAAACUUUCAACAAUGGAUCUCUUGGUUCCGGCAUCGAUGAAGGACGCAGCGAAAUGCGAUAAGUAAUGUGAAUUGCAGAAUUCCGUGAAUCAUCGAAUCUUUGAACGCACAUUGCGCCCCCUGGCAUUCCGGGGGGCAUGCCUGUCCGAGCGUCAUUUCUGCCCUCAAGCACGGCUUGUGUGUUGGGUGUGGUCCCCCCCGGGACCUGCCCGAAAGGCAGCGGCGACGUCCGUCUGGUCCUCGAGCGUAUGGGGCUCUGUCACUCGCUCGGGAAGGACCUGCGGGGGGUUGGUCACCAUCAUAUUUUACCACGGUUGACCUCGGAUCAGGUAGGAGUUACCCGCUGAACUUAAGCAUAUCAAUAAGCGGAGGAAAAGAAACCAACCGGGAUUGCCUCAGUAACGGCGAGUGAAGCGGCAAGAGCUCAAAUUUGAAAUCUGGCCCCUUUGGGGUCCGAGUUGUAAUUUGCAGAGGAUGCUUCGGGUGCGGUCCCCGUCUAAGUGCCCUGGAACGGGCCGUCAUAGAGGGUGAGAAUCCCGUCUGGGAUGGGCGGCCGCGCCCGUGUGAAGCUCCUUCGACGAGUCGAGUUGUUUGGGAAUGCAGCUCUAAGCGGGUGGUAAAUUUCAUCUAAAGCUAAAUACUGGCCGGAGACCGAUAGCGCACAAGUAGAGUGAUCGAAAGAUGAAAAGCACUUUGAAAAGAGAGUUAAACAGCACGUGAAAUUGUUGAAAGGGAAGCGUUGUCCACCAGACUCGCCCGGGGGGGUUCAGCCGGCACGUGUGCCGGUGUACUCCUCUCCGGGCGGGCCAGCAUCGGUUUGGGCGGCUGGUGAAAGGCCCCGGGAAUGUAACACCCUUCGGGGUGCCUUAUAGCCCGGGGUGCCAUACAGCCAGCCUGGACCGAGGCCCGCGCUUCGGCGAGGAUGCUGGCGUAAUGGUGGUCAACGGC